rnacentral:rRNA from 1 species
AUGCACGCUGGCGGCGUGCCUAAUACCUGCAAGUCGAGCGAACAGACGAGGAGCUUGCUCCUCUGACGUUAGCGGCGGACGGGUGAGUAACACGUGGAUAACCUACCUAUAAGACUGGGAUAACUUCGGGAAACCGGAGCUAAUACCGGAUAAUAUAUUGAACCGCAUGGCUCAAUAGUGAAAGACGGUUUUGCUGUCACUUAUAGAUGGAUCCGCGCCGCAUUAGCUAGUUGGUAAGGUAACGGCUUACCAAGGCAACGAUGCGUAGCCGACCUGAGAGGGUGAUCGGCCACACUGGAACUGAGACACGGUCCAGACUCCUACGGGAGGCAGCAGUAGGGAAUCUUCCGCAAUGGGCGAAAGCCUGACGGAGCAACGCCGCGUGAGUGAUGAAGGUCUUCGGAUCGUAAAACUCUGUUAUUAGGGAAGAACAAAUGUGUAAGUAACUAUGCACGUCUUGACGGUACCUAAUCAGAAAGCCACGGCUAACUACGUG